rnacentral:rRNA from 1 species
CCUACGGGGGGCAGCAGUGGGGAAUAUUGCACAAUGGGGGAAACCCUGAUGCAGCGACGCCGCGUGAGUGAAGAAGUAAUUCGUUAUGUAAAGCUCUAUCAGCAGGGACGAAAAUGACGGUACCUGAGUAAGAAGCCCCGGCUAACUACGUGACAGCAGCCGCGGUAAUACGUAGGGGGCAAGCGUUAUCAGGAUUUACUGGGUGUAAAGGGAGCGUAGACGGCAGUGCAAGUAUGGAGUGAAAGGCGGGGGCUCAACCCCCGGACUGCUCUGGAAACUGUACGGCUUGAGUGCAGGAGAGGUAAGUGGAAUUCCUAGUGUAGCGGUGAAAUGCGUAGAUAUUAGGAGGAACACCAGUGGCGAAGGCGGCUUACUGGACUGUAACUGACGUUGAGGCUCGAAAGCGUGGGGAGCAAACAGGAUUAGAUACCCCUGUAGUC